ensembl:lncRNA
CUGAGAUGCAGGAGCUGUAUCUUAAGGGAGAUACUUGUCUGUAAUAACUUGUGUCAUCCAGCCCAACAGAGAGCCAGGGGACAGCUGUGCUGCCAUUAGGUCACCGAAGGUCUCAUCUGCAAAAGCAUGAGCUGAGACCUUGCUGGAGACAGGCACUGAAGCCACCUCCAAGUUUUCUAGGUUUGGUUUGCAGCAAGGAAUAAAGAACAAGGGCUUGUGCCUCUCACCUUCAAAUCAGCUGCCAGCCAGGUAGCACUGCCCUACACAUCUCUGUAGGACAUUUACAAAUUGGAGAUAGUAUUGAGAACCUGAGGAGAUUUUUAGCUGGGAUCCUAUGGGCUGAACACAAUUCACAUGAGCUGAGGAGAGUGUCCCCCUGUAAGGAGAAGGUUUUGAGAGAUAAAAUGAAUGUCUAUAUAUUAUUUUGAGCAUCUCUGAUGAGUGAUUUGAACCAGGAGCUGGAUUAUGACUGGUUUCAUCAGAUGGGAGAGAAAAAGUCUGAAUUAAAUGUCAGUUGUUCAGAAAGUCCAGAAGCAAUAUCCUGACAUCUCUCAGCAAUUCACUUAAUGAGAGACAGCUGCUGGAUUUGAAGAUCUAAACAAACUGUCUUUUGAUUUGAAGUGUUUAGGACAGAGGCACCUUCACCAGGAGCACGAAUCAGACAGAUGUAGUCCUUAACAUUGUCUGCCAGACACUUACUAUGGAUCUCGGAUCAAAAAGUAAUUCUGCUCUAAUCCAGACACAGUACAUCAGAUAGCUGCUGAGUUAAGAAACGUGUCACAUGUUCUGCUUUCCCUCUCACCAUCUACCUGUAGAUAUGAACUUGGAUAUGAACGACCAGUUUUUUGUUUUUUUCAUUAAACCUGACACUUCUGUAAAGUAAAAUUGCACCUAUAAAAACAUUACUUGAGAAAAAAGUCACCAGGGCUACCUGCGUGUGUAUCAUUAUUCAGCAUCCCAAUUUCAAAUGGCUAAUGUGAACAUGUGGUGAAAAGCAGGAAAAAACUGUACAGAACAAACAAACCUCACAACAGCGUCACAUUGCUUCCACUCUGAGGUCUAGUAGAAAGUCAGGUUUCCAGCUGGGAACUGCAGACAUGUUCCAGACAGCAGCUGGGAGCCUGUCCUUGCUCCACACAGCCACUUCCCAUUGGAUGGAAGCAAGUGCUCUUGGUGGAAGGAGGACUAAAU